rnacentral:rRNA from 1 species
GAUGAACGCUAGCGAUAGGCUUAACACAUGCCAGUCGAGGGGUAACGUGUUGGAAGCUUGCUUCCGAUGACGACGACCGGCGGAUGGGUGCGUAACGCGUAUGCAACUUGCCUCACAGUGGAGAAUAACCCGGAGAAAUCCGGACUAAUGUUCCAUACACUCUUAAGUACUCCUGUACAUGAGAGGAAAGAUUUAUCGCUGUGAGAUAGGCAUGCGUCCUAUUAGGUAGUUGGUGAGGUAACGGCUCACCAAGCCGACGAUAGGUAGGGGUGCUGAGAGGCAGAUCCCCCACAUUGGGACUGAGACACGGCCCAAACUCCUACGGGAGGCAGCAGUGAGGAAUAUUGGUCAAUGGAGGAAACUCUGAACCAGCCAAGUCGCGUGAAGGAAGAAUGUCCUAAGGAUUGUAAACUUCUUUAGCGAGCGAGUAAGGACUUCCACGUGAUGGGAGUUGGAAAGUAGCUCGAGAAUAAGUAUCGGCUAACUCCGU